CGGGCGGUAGCUCAGCCUGGUAGAGCUUCCGGCUGUAGCAGGCGUACAACGCAGAAACCGGAGUGUCGCAGGCUCAAAUCCUGCCCGCCCGACCA
rnacentral:tRNA from 1 species